rnacentral:tRNA from 1 species
GGCUGGAGAGAUGGCUCAGUGGUUAAGAGCACUGACUGAUCUUCCUAGAGGUCCUGAGUUCAAAUCCCUGCAGCCA